rnacentral:rRNA from 1 species
CUACGGGACGCACCAGUGAGGAAUUUUGCGCAAUGGGGGGAACCCUGACGCAGCAACGCCGCGUGAGUGAUGAAGGCUUUCGGGUCGUAAAGCUCUGUCAAGUGGGAAGAACCUAUGCAGUGUUAAUAUCACUGUAUACUGACGGUACCACUGAAGGAAGCACCGGCUAACUCCGUGCCAGCAGCCGCGGUAAUACGGGGGGUGCAAGCGUUAUUCGGAAUCAUUGGGCGUAAAGGGCACGUAGGCGGCUUGGUAAGUCAGAUGUGAAAGCCCGGGGCUUAACCCCGGAAGUGCAUUUGAUACUGUCAGGCUUGAGUAUGGGAGAGGGAAGUGGAAUUCCUGGUGUAGAGGUGAAAUUCGUAGAUAUCAGGAGGAACACCGGUGGCGAAGGCGACUUCCUGGACCAAUACUGACGCUGAGGUGCGAAGGCGUGGGUAGCAAACAGGAUUAGAUACCCGAGUUGUC